rnacentral:rRNA from 1 species
GAGUUUGAUCCUGGCUCAGGAUGAACGCUGGCGGCGUGCUUAACACAUGCAAGUCGAACGAAGCACUUUAUUUGAUUUCCUUCGGGACUGAUUAUUUUGUGACUGAGUGGCGGACGGGUGAGUAACGCGUGGGUAACCUGCCUUGUACUGGGGGACAACAGUUGGAAACGACUGCUAAUACCGCAUAAGCGCACAGAGCUGCAUGGCUCGGUGUGAAAAACUCCGGUGGUAUAAGAUGGACCCGCGUUGGAUUAGCUAGUUGGUGAGGUAACGGCCCACCAAGGCGACGAUCCAUAGCCGACCUGAGAGGGUGACCGGCCACAUUGGGACUGAGACACGGCCCAAACUCCUACGGGAGGCAGCAGUGAGGAAUAUUGGUCAAUGGGCGAGAGCCUGAACCAGCCAAGUAGCGUGAAGGAUGACUGCCCUAUGGGUUGUAAACUUCUUUUAUAAAGGAAUAAAGUCGGGUAUGCAUACCCGUUUGCAUGUACUUUAUGAAUAAGGAUCGGCUAACUCCGUGCCAGCCGCCGCGGUAAUAC